UUCUGAAACAGACUUGCAGCAGGAAAUGGUGUCUGAGAAAAAUGAGCACUGCAGUAGCCUGAUCUGUUCCACUGCUUCACAAUGUGAUCUCCUGGAGGGUCACGUCACUCCUAGAAGUUCAGGCUCCAGAACUUGUUCUUCACUGUCAUCACCAGCCCGUUUAGAGUCACCAAGGGAAAAGAACAAAGUAUACAGGGUGUUUGUCCCACAUUCUCACCUUGACGUACAUGUUGGCCAUCGGGUACGGGUUCUGUUGCCAUCAGGAAGAAUCAGCACUGGCACCAUUCAGUUCCUUGGAUUCUUGUCGAGCUUGCAAGAUUUUCGCAUUGGGGUAGAAUUAGAGAGCCCUGAAUAUGGUCAGCAUGAUGGGGUAUUUGAAGGUCAACGCUAUUUCCACUGCAAACCAGGUCAUGGAGUUUUUGUCAGCUUCAACAAACUGUUAAUGGCCUGGGAGUAACUUCUCCGUGUUUCCAGUAUGUGUGUCCCAUCGAGCAGCUCACAGUGCCUUAAGUGGAGUAUCGGACAUGCCAAGGAAGAAAUGUGUGAGAAGAAAUAUCAACUUUCUGCGUCUAACACUUGAAAGAAUUUAAACAAGGAAAUUUGAAGCAUAUGAUACAUUCAUUUAAAUAUAUUUGGUUAUCUUUAUAUUUACUGUGAUGAAGUAGAACUAAAAUGAAAGAGAAGCACAACAAUCAAAUAAGGAUAAAAUCUGCAGAGUUCCUUUGAACUUCAGCCUCUUUAAGGCUUCUCUGACUCUCGUUGGCACAGCUUUUGUCCUCAUGUUGAACAAUGGCAUCUACAGACGUUGAAGGGUAGAAACAAGCCAAGGUAUCUUAUGCCUGCACUACUGAAGCAGUGAAACACACCUGAUUAACCACAAAUACCUGUGGUGUCAACUGCCCCAAAACAUUAUGGUGCUCUGAAAUGGGGGGACCGUGAUGUAUAAAAAGUGUUGUCAAUUCUAAAUGCUG